GAUGAACGCUGGCGGCGUGCCUAAUACAUGCAAGUCGAGCGAAUGGAUUAAGAGCUUGCUCUUAUGGAGUUAGCGGCGGACGGGUGAGUAACACGUGGGUAACCUGCCCAUAAGACUGGGAUGACUCCGGGAAACCGGGGCUAAUACCGGAUAACAUUUUGAACCGCAUGGUUCGAAAUUGAAAGGCGGCUUCGGCUGUCACUUAUGGAUGGACCCGCGUCGCAUUAGCUAGUUGGUGAGGUAACGGCUCACCAAGGCAACGAUGCGUAGCCGACCUGAGAGGGUGAUCGGCCACACUGGGACUGAGACACGGCCCAGACUCCUACGGGAGGCAGCAGUAGGGAAUCUUCCGCAAUGGACGAAAGUCUGACGGAGCAACGCCGCGUGAGUGAUGAAGGCUUUCGGGUCGUAAAACUCUGUUGUUAGGGAAGAACAAGUGCUAGUUGAAUAAGCUGGCACCUUGACGGUACCUAACCAGAAAGCCACGGCUAACUACGUGCCAGCCGCCGCUGUAA
rnacentral:rRNA from 1 species